rnacentral:rRNA from 1 species
UACAGAGGGUGCAAGCGUUAAUCGGAGUUACUGGGCGUAAAGGGCGCGUAGGCGGUUUAAUAAGUGAGAUGUGAAAUCCCUGGGCUUAACCUAGGAACUGCAUCUUAUACUGUUAGACUAGAGUAUUGUAGAGGGUAGUGGAAUUUCCGGUGUAGCGGUGAAAUGCGUAGAGAUCGGAAGGAACACCAGUGGCGAAGGCGGCUACCUGGACAAAUACUGACGCUGAGGCGCGAGAGCGUGGGGAGCAAACAGG